CGCGGCCUAUCAGCUUGUUGGUGGGGUGAUGGCCUACCAAGGCGACGACGGGUAGCCGGCCUGAGAGGGCGACCGGCCACACUGGGACUGAGACACGGCCCAGACUCCUACGGGAGGCAGCAGUGGGGAAUAUUGCGCAAUGGGCGGAAGCCUGACGCAGCGACGCCGCGUGGGGGAUGAAGGCCUUCGGGUUGUAAACCUCUUUCAGCAGGGAAGAAGCGGAAGUGACGGUACCUGCAGAAGAAGCACCGGCUAACUACGUGCCAGCAGCCGCGGUAAUACGUAGGGUGCAAGCGUUGUCCGGAAUUAUUGGGCGUAAAGAGCUCGUAGGCGGUCUGUCGCGUCUGCUGUGAAAACUCGGGGCUUAACUCCGGGCCUGCAGUGGGUACGGGCAGACUAGAGUGCGGUAGGGGAGACUGGAAUUCCUGGUGUAGCGGUGAAAUGCGCAGAUAUCAGGAGGAACACCGGUGGCGAAGGCGGGUCUCUGGGCCGUAACUGACGCUGAGGAGCGAAAGCGUGGGGAGCGAACAGGAUUAGAUACCCUGGUAGUCCACGCCGUAAACGUUGGGCGCUAGGUGUGGGGCUCUUUCCACGAGUUCCGUGCCGCAGCAAACGCAUUAAGCGCCCCGCCUGGGGA
rnacentral:rRNA from 1 species